rnacentral:rRNA from 1 species
GCGAAAAUAGAGUAGCGAAGUCCGCGAUGUUCGGAGGCGAGAAAAGCUCUGAGGUAUGCUAAGGUGCCCGUACCGCAAACCGACACAGGUAGAUGAGGAGAGAAUCCUAAGGCCAACGGGAGAAGGGUUGUUAAGGAACUCGGCAAAUUGACCCCGUAACUUCGGAAGAAGGGGAGCCCCCUACGGGGGGUCGCAGAGAAAUGGCCCAAGCAACUGUUUACCAAAAACACAGGUCUAUGCUAAAUCGAAAGAUGACGUAUAUGGGCUGACGCCUGCCCGGUGCCGGAAGGUUAAGAGGAGAUGUCAGGCAACGAAGCAUUGAAUUUAAGCCCCGGUAAACGGCGGCCGUAACGAUAACGGUCCUAAGGUAGCGAAAUUCCUUGUCAGGUAAGUUCUGACCCGCACGAAUGGCGUAAUGAUUUGGGCACUGUCUCAACAGCCCGCCCGGCGAAAUUGUAGUACUGGUGAAGAUGCCAGUUACCCGCAACUAGACGGAAAGACCCCAUGGAGCUUUACUGCAGCUUAAUACUGAAAUUCGGUAGUACAUGUACAGGAUAGGUGGGAGACUGAGAAAUACAGGCGUCAGCUUGUAUGGAGUCGCUGUUGGGAUACCACUCUUGUACUGCUGGGUUUCUAACCUGCGGCCGUGAAUCCGGUCGGGGGACACUGUUAGGCGGGCAGUUUGACUGGGGCGGUCGCCUCCCAAAAGGUAACGGAGGCGCUCAAAGGUUCGUUCAGCACGGACGGAAAUCGUGCAUGAGUGUAAACGCAUAAACGAGCCUAACUGCGACACCGACGGGUGGAGCAGUAACGAAAGUUGGAGUUAGUGAUCCGGUGGUAUGUGAGUGGAAAUGCCAUCGCUCAACGGAUAAAAGCUACCCUGGGAUAACAGGCUGAUCUCCCCCAAGCGUCCACAGCGACGGGGAGGUUUGGCACCUCGAUGUCGGCUCGUCGCAUCCUGGGGCUGAAUUCGGUCCCAAGGGUUUGGCUGUUCGCCAAUUAAAGCGGCACGCGAGCUGGGUUCAGAACGUCGUGAGACAGUUCGGUCCCUAUCUGUUGCGGGCGUAAGAGAUUUGAAGGGAGCUGUCCUUAGUACGAGAGGACCGGGAUGGACGUACCUCUGGUGCACCAGUUGUCCUGCCAAGGGCAUAGCUGGGUAGCUAUGUACGGACGAGAUAAACGCUGAAAGCAUCUAAGCGUGAAACUCCCCCUAAGAUGAGAUCUCUCAUCCUUCAAGGAGUAAGGACCCAGAAAGACGAUCUGGUUGAUAGGCCGAAGGUGGAAGCGCAGUAAUGUGUGCAGCUGAUCGGUACUAAUAGUCCGAGGGCUUGACC